CGGUGCCACCAUUACACUUUCACCUUUUAUCAUGCCAUUACACUUUGUACUGACCAUCCUCCAAACAUGGCAUCACUGUUUUGUUUACACCUUUUAUCUCUACAUCUCAGAGGUCACCUGAAACAAGCCCCACCUAUAUAAAAGGCCAUAAUCAGUCACACUGUAUUUUCCCUCACUACAUUACAUCGGCCAUUGAGAGCAUAACACUUCGUUCAUCAGCACGGACAACAACCCUAAGAGCGUUCUUUUUAACAUGGACAGCGUAUAUGGUAGGUAAACAAGACUAUUAACGGAUUCUUAAAUUUAUACAACUGUAUAUCAAAAAAUAUUCAAACUGUUUUCUCUUCUAAACAAAAGCCUGAUUUUUAGGAACUUGGUACACAUGGACACCCCAAGCGGGACUUACACAAGGAUCACAAAGCUAUAUAGGGCAAACAACACCUCUAAAAAACACAAGGAUCAAUAAGUUGUCCAGAAAAACCUACAGAAGCGGAGGAAAUAAGACCAAGCCUUACGUUAGGCCCGAGACAGAGUACACA